UCUGACACGGUUGUGUGCUACUAUAAUCUCUGUAGACCCAGAACAAGGUAAGGAUCUGACACGGUUGUGUGCUACUAUAAUCUCUGUAGACCCAGAACAAGGUAAGGAUCUGACACGGUUGUGUGCUACUAUAAUCUCUGUAGACCCAGAACAAGGUAAGGAUCUGACACGGUUGUGUGCUACUAUAAUCUCUGUAGACCCAGAACAAGGUAAGGAUCUGACACGGUUGUGUGCUACUAUAAUCUCUGUAGACCCAGAACAAGGUAAGGAUCUGACACGGUUGUGUGCUACUAUAAUCUCUGUAGAGCCAGAACAAGGUAAGGAUCUGACACGGUUGUGUGCUACUAUAAUCUCUGUAGAGCCAGAACAAGGUAAGGAUCUGACACGGUUGUGUGCUACUAUAAUCUCUGUAGACCCAGAACAAGGUAAGGAUCUGACACGGUUGUGUGCUACUAUAAUCUCUGUAGACCCAGAACAAGGUAAGGAUCUGACACGGUUGUGUGCUACUAUAAUCUCUGUAGACCCAGAACAAGGUAAGGAUCUGACACGGUUGUGUGCUACUAUAAUCUCUGUAGACCCAGAACAAAG